rnacentral:misc_RNA from 1 species
AACUCUCAACCCCACCUGGGUUUUUCUAGGUGGUCGGUGAAUUGGGCGUCUGCCGUUACUGGCUCGCCUGAAAUGCAUAAGCGCUCUGGAUGUAAUACGUUUCAUCCUCUUGGGUGGCUGAUAACCCCACAUCUCAUG